AGAGCUUAAAGAAUGCGUUGACUAUGUUGCUAGAUAUUGGAGAGAAGACGGCAUCUGCUGGGCAAGAAACUCCGAGGUUCAUGACAUUGACGACACAGCUAUGGGAUUCAGGGUUCUUAGAUUAUACGGCCAUGAAGUUUCUUCUGAUGUGUUCAAGCAUUUUAAGAAGGGUGAUACUUUCUUCUGCUUUGCCGGGCAGUCAACGCAGGCCGUUACCGGAAUGUUCAACCUUCAUAGAGCUUCUCAGGUGCUAUUUCCAGGGGAGAAAAUCCUCGAGGAAGCCAAGGAAUUUUCAUCCAGUUUCCUAAAAGAAAAGCAAGCUGCUAAUGGAGUCCUCGAUAAAUGGAUUAUAACCAAGGACUUACCAGGAGAGGUUGAGUAUUCAUUGG
rnacentral:misc_RNA from 1 species